UACGUAGGGUGCGAGCGUUAAUCGGAAUUACUGGGCGUAAAGCGUGCGCAGGCGGUCUGUUAAGACCGAUGUGAAAUCCCCGGGCUUAACCUGGGAACUGCAUUGGUGACUGGCAGGCUUUGAGUGUGGCAGAGGGAGGUAGAAUUCCACGUGUAGCAGUGAAAUGCGUAGAGAUGCGGAGGAACACCGAUGGCGAAGGCAAUCCCCUGGGCCUGUACUGACGCUCAUGCACGAAAGCGUGGGGAGCAAACAGG
rnacentral:rRNA from 1 species